GCGAGAGAUCACUUCCGGGGCUUUCCGGCGCUUGCGCAGACAGAAGCGCCCGUGCCCUCAGAGUACUUGGACGUGGCUGUGGUUAAAAGAGGUAAAAUGAUAUAAACACUGUUCGUUUUCUCACACAAACCGCUCGUUUCGUGUCUUAGCAAUGUGUACUUACAUUUACGAGUCAUUAAAUCAUGUUUAAUUUGGACUUCUCUGUGCAUGCUCUUUGAGGUGGUGACCAUAGACCUGCAUUAUAUGACUGACAGACAAGAACGGUUUGACCUAAAAAUAUCAAAAUGGAAAAUACUGUGGAAACAAAGACACCUACAUCUUGGAUGCCCUUGAGGAAACACCGGACCUACUGGACCCUUUCUGGUUGGUUGUAGGCUAUAGAGGCACCUGUCAGAACACAUGGAGAGGAAGUUUGCAGUGGUGCGGUGGAGUGAAGGGGAGGAUUUUGGGAAGCUCAGUGACAUAAAAACUGAUGCCAUAAGGGGGUAUGAUGAUUCCAAGAUGGACCAGGAUGGGAAUCCCUUUGCCACCUACUCAGCCGUAAUUGAAUGGCGCCAUGGGAGGAAACAACGAGGAGGCUGGCCUCACUACAGAGGCACUGUCAUUUUUGUUAGUGCUACUCGUUUUGAGACAAUCCGUAAACUGAACUCACUGCUGAAGGAAGAAGAACCUACAGAGCUGACAAAGAGGGCCUCAGUGGCCCCCCAAAAAUAUGGGGACUAUUCAGAUUGCUCAACUGAUAUUGAAACUCAGUCUCAGCAAGCAAAGAAGUCAAAGGCUCCCAGGAGGAUAGACCCUGCAGAAGAGUUUCUUAGGCUAUACGGUCAAUCACAGCCUUCUUCAGAUAAUCACAACAGUCCGACUCAGACUGUGGUUGAAUUAAAGCAGGAGAUCAAGGACCUGAAAGAAGAGAACGCGAAGUUGAAGGAGAUUGUUCUUCAAGAUGUGCCAGGACUCCUACUGAGCUUGAGGAAUAUAAUAGAUUCGGCUGCACCUCCUAAGAGAUCCAGGGUGGAGCCUACCAAAGCAUUACCGGCCCUUCCAGGGUCUCCGCAGUCCAGGUCCAGUUCUCCAUGUGCCACUUCGCUGUCCCUCCCCAGAUCUACGCUGUCCAGUUCCACAUCUGUGUCUCCAUCCCUGACUGCCUCCCAUUCUUCUAAGGUUGAGAUCCAUCCUGGGACCGGAGUCAUGGUUGAGAAACUGGCGUGGGCCUAUGCCAUCAAUGCCAAUUCGGCAACAGUCUUUGUGAGACAUCUGCUCACCGCAGUCUUUCCAGUGGAAAUACUGCUGGUGAGCAAUCUUCGGGGGAACAAACGAGGCGGAGGAGAGGCUCGUCAACCAUUAGACAAAAAUAAAUUGGAUGCCAUUUACAGUGCAACUCUUGAGAAGUGGCCUGGGACCCAGCUUUCCAGCAGUGGAAGUACGAUCAAUGCCAAGAUUACAGAACUCCGGUCAAAAAGUAAAAAUGCUGGUGUGUACACAGCUCCACAUUAAACUGUUUUGUUUGCUCUGAGUUUCACACAGGUGUGUCACAUAGUCCUUGGGCCUGGGGCAAAACAGGUUCUGACUACUGUCUACUGAAAGUAUUUACUGCUUAUAGUGCCUGUUUAUUCUGAGGUAUCCAGUGUGCAGAAGAACAAAACUGGCAUAUAUGUAAGCCAUUAAGGCAUUUUAAGUUUACAUUCUAAAAUGUUUUUGUUUGUGUACUUUGCAAUUUCAAAAUCGAGUAUACUCAAAAUAUCUAAGUAAACAGUAUAGGCAAUAUUAGCAUUAUGCUCAGAGCGAUUGAUUGCACUUAAGCCCCAUGCCUCGUUCCUUGAAUGUGAAUACACCUGUUUGUAUUGACAAUGUUUAGUUGUUG
ensembl:lncRNA